AAAUGGCGGAGGCGCUGGGCGCCUAGGCCGUCGGGGGCCAUGAGCGCCGCCCGGCCCCAGUUUAGCAUCGAUGAUGCCUUCGAGCUGACCCUGGAGGACGCGGGGCCUGGGCCCGAGUCCAGCGGGGUCGCCCGCUUCGGGCCGCUGCACUUCGAUCGCCGGGCUCGGUUCGAGGUGGCUGAUGAAGACAAGCAGUCCCGGCUACGCUACCAGAACCUGGAAAAUGAUGAGGACGGAGCCCAGGCCUCUCCGGAGCCUGAUGGGGGAGUCAGCACCAGGGAUUCUGGGCACAUGUCUGUCCGCAGCUCGCAGUGGUCCUUCAGCACCAUCAGCAGCAGCACACAGCGCUCCUACAACGCCUGCUGCAGCUGGACCCAGCAUCCUCUGAUCCAGAAAAACCGCCGGGUAGUGCUGGCCUCCUUCCUGCUUCUGCUGUUGGGACUAGGUGAGUGUCCUCAAGACCGAAGCUCCUUAGCACUCUAGGCCUCCCUGUUGGAACUGAGCACGCGGGGCUGUGAGGGUAUUAGCCCCACACUCCUGAGAUCAUCUAGCCAGAGUCAUAAAGGGAGGGAAAAAAUGGAACCUGGUUCAGUACUUUUUAAAUUCUUUCUUUUUUCCUUUUUAUUUGUUUUAUUUUGUUUUGUUGUUGUUGUUGUUGUUUGAAACAGGAGUUUCUCUGUGUAGUCCUGGCUGUCCUGGAACUCACUAUUUAGACCAGGCUGGUCUGGAACUCACAGAGAUCUGCUUGCUUCUGCCUCCCUAGUACUAGGAUUAAAGGCGCCACCACCACCAUCCAGUCCUUUUUUUUUGAAGUUUCUAAAAAUUAUUUUUUCAUAUUUUUGUUUUAUGUGUAUGUAAAUGUACCAUGUGUGAGCAGUCUCCAAGGAGGUCAGAAAAGGGAAUUGGAUCCCAGGAGCUAGAGUUGCAGAGGGUUAAGAGCCACUGUCUGGGUGCUGGGAACCAACUCUGGAUCCUCUGCAAGAGUAAUAUGUGCUCCUAACCUCUGAGCCAUCUCUUCAGUUCCUUACCCCCUUUUAAAGUUUGCCCAGACAGUGAGGUAUGAUCUUGAACACUUGACUAUUCUACCCCUACCUCCCAUAUUCUGGAAUUAGAGUUAUAUCCAUUAUGCUCAGCUUUCUUUGGUUUUGUUUUUUGUUUUUUUUGUUUUGUUUUUAAAUAUUUAUUUAUUUAUUAUAUGUAAGUACACUGUAGCUGUCUUCAGACACCCCAGAAGAUGGCAUCAGAUCUCAUUACAGAUGGUUGUGAGCCACUAUGUGGUUGCUGGAAUUUGAACUCAGGACCUUUGGUAGAGCAGUCAAUGCUCUUAAUAGUUGAGCCAGCUCUCCAGCCCUACUUUCUUAUUUACUUAUUAAUUUACUUAUUGGUUUUUCAAGGCAGGGUUUCUUUGUGUAGCCCUGGCUGUCUUAGAGCUUGUUACGUAUACUAGGAUGGCCUCAAACUCCGAGGUCCUGCCUCUGCCUCCCAAAAGCUAGGAUUAAAGGCAUAUGCUGCCUGCACCCCAGUUGUUUGGGUUUUUGUUUGUUUAUUUGUUUUAACUCAGCCUGUUUAGUCCACCAGAGGAUGGAGAGGUAACAGUUUCCAUUGAUUCUAUGAUGACUAUUGACAGGUCCGUUUUUUUUCACCUUAGAGAGGUUAGCAGCGUCCAGAAUCUGUUCAUGAAGGCAGGCCAGGUGCUGGGGAUACCAGUGUCCCUGAGGCCAGGGAUCGGGGCUGCUGUUCCUGUGGUCUGUGAUCUGACCAGGACCUUUCUCCACAUCACAUUGUUCAGUGAGGGAAACUGAGGUCCAGUGUAGGCAGAUUUCACAGCCAUGUAUUUCUGUCUUCUUUAUGGGACUGAGAUGUAGUAUCCCAGAGCAUCCAGAGUUGGGAUCAACAUGGGGCCAUAAAGACCAACCAUGGCUGCCUCCCUAGGUCCUCUUCCCUUCCUUCUCCAGGAAGGUCAAAACUCCCAGCCAUCUAGAUCAGGCCAGGAAGCUAAUCUCCAUCUCUAGGUGUUUGAGUGUAGGAGACAGAGCUGCUCCUUGCUAGCACCACUCAGGCCAGGCAUUGGUGGCACGUACUGCUAGCUUCUCCUUGACCCAGCAAAGCAAGUGCUGCUAGCAUCCUGGCUUGGGAAGUAAGUACACAAGGUCAGGCAGGAGAGCCAGCUUCCGCAGGCUGCCGCUGGAAGGCAGAUGGCCUGCAAUUGAGACCCACCCCAUGACUGCCAAACUUAGGGAUCACCAGAAAGCCACAAAAGGCUCUAGGGAAUACUACUCUAAGAGAAGGAUGUUUACUCUAAGAGAACAGAACUGAAGCCCUAAACCAGGGUCAGGCAAUGAGUGUGAACCCGUUUUGGGGAGUGUUCUUUGUAGAACAUGAAAUAUACAAAAGUCCAUGGUGGCCCCUGGCUGUACCCUCCCCCAUCGGUGAGUCCAGCUAUGACCUCUCCACCAAAGACCAUAUCCCUGCCUGGGACAAUGUGCUAUCCCAGAUUUCUCUAGCCCGGGUUCUUCUUCAGUCUCAUCAAGUGCUGGACGCUCUUAGAAAGCUCCAGGUUCCCUCCAGACUCUGAGGCUUGGCUGUGCUGGUCCCUCUAUACUGAAUUCUCUCUGUGUGGAUGGUCCCAUCUAUGGCUUCUGUCUCCCAUCAGGUCAUGGUUUAGUUUAUCAAGACAUUGCAUGUAUGCUUAGCUCAGGGCCUGCCAGUGAUCUCACUCCUGCCAUUCCCGCCAGGCUUAGAGGUGACUGUCUCCUGGGCUGACUUGAGGCAGUUGUUUCAAGCUCCCACACAGACCUCUUUCCACACAUAGAUCGUAGCUUUCAGGAUCUUGUUGGUCCGUCCACUAAAAAAGGCCGUGGGACAAGGACCUACUGCCCUUCCAUUACAUUCUUUCAUUUGUGUGUUUGUGGGUGGAGGAGGGCAUGUGUGCCACAGCUCAGUGUGAUCAGAGGUUAACUUGCAAGAGUCAAUUCUCUGCUUCCACCAUUUGGGUCUGAGGAAUUGAACUCAGGUAGUUGGAUUUUGUGGCAAACUCUUUUAUCCACUGAGCCAUCUUGCUGUCCCCAUAUGCCCCCCUGUCCUUCCCCUCCACAAUCCCAUAUGUGUGCAGUGCUUAUCCUGGUCGGCGUGGGACUGGAGGUGGCCCCCUCUCCAGGUGUCUCCAGCGCCAUCUUCUUUGUGCCGGGCAUCCUGCUGCUAGUCCCGGGAGUCUACCAUGUGAUCUUCAUCUACUGUGCUGUCAAAGGCCGCCAGGGCUUCCAGUUCUUCUACCUGCCCUACUUUGAGAAGUGAGCUGUAACUGGCCAGUGGCUUACCAGUGAUCCAAGGCCUCAGGUCACCUCCACGUGUCCACAGGGUAUUCCUCCAACCUACACCUGGUUCUUUUCCUUUCACCUGGAAAGCAGAGGCCCUCUGGGACCCUCACAACCACCAGGCCCCUUUGGAUUUGCUCAGGAAGUUUGGGGCAUGCCAGCCUGGGAAUAUUGCCUCUUACCUGAUGUGUGCCUUAACUUAUUCCUGGGUCCUGGACUCCUGGGUUGGUGUAAUUUUGUGCUAAUAAAAGGGUAAUUAUUUCCAGC
ensembl:processed_transcript